rnacentral:rRNA from 1 species
AACCUCCGCAAUGUGAGAAAUCGCGACGGGGGGAUCCCAAGUGCCAUUCUUAACGGGAUGGCUUUUCUUAAGUGUAAAAAGCUUUUGGAAUAAGAGCUGGGCAAGACCGGUGCCAGCCGCCGCGGUAACACCGGCAGCUCUAGUGGUAGCUGUUUUUAUUGGGCCUAAAGCGUCCGUAGCCGGUUUAAUAAGUCUCUGGUGAAAUCCUGUAGCUUAACUGUGGGAAUUGCUGGAGAUACUAUUAGACUUGAGACCGGGAGAGGUUAGAGGUACUCCCAGGGUAGAGGUGAAAUUCUGUAAUCCUGGGAGGACCGCCUGUUGCGAAGGCGUCUAACUGGAACGGUUCUGACGGUGAGGGACGAAAGUUAGGGGCGCGAACCGGAUUAGAUACCCGGGUAGUCCUAACUGUAAACGAUGCGGACUUGGUGUUGGGUGGCUUUGAGCUGCUCCAGUACCGAAGGGAAGCUGUUAAGUCCGCCGCCUGGGAAGUACGGUCGCAAGACUGAAACUUAAAGGAAUU